rnacentral:rRNA from 1 species
CCUACGGGAGGCAGCAGUGGGGGAUAUUGCACAAUGGGGGGAACCCUGAUGCAGCGACGCCGCGUGGGUGAAGAAGCGCCUCGGCGCGUAAAGCCCUGUCAGCAGGGAAGAAAAUGACGGUACCUGAAGAAGAAGCCCCGGCUAAAUACGUGCCAGCAGCCGCGGUAAUACGUAGGGGGCAAGCGUUAUCCGGAUUUACUGGGGGUAAAGGGGGCGCAGACGGCGAUGCAAGCCAGGAGUGAAAGCCGGGGGCCCAACCCCGGGACUGCUCUUGGAACUGCGUGGCGGGAGUGCAGGAGGGGCAGGCGGAAUUCCUGGUGUAGCGGUGAAAUGCGUAGAUAUAAGGAGGAACACCGGUGGCGAAGGCGGCCUGCUGGACUGCAACUGACGUUGAGGCCCGAAAGCGUGGGGAGCAAACAGGAUUAGAUACCCCUGUAGUC